rnacentral:lncRNA from 1 species
UGCUAUCAUGAUAGAUCACAAUUGACUUUGCCUCAGUUUCUCUGAAUAGAAUCAUUUGCUUACAUGUCACACAUGAUCAAGGCCAUGUUUUUCUUCUACCUCAAAGAAGCCAAUACAAACCUGUUGGACUUUAAUGAAAGAUGUUUUCCCUCUCUGAACCUCAAACCUAAUGAAAAAUCCUUGACUCCCCUACCUUGAGCUGAAUAAAUUAUUCAUGUUUGCUGCAGGAGGAUGGUUUAAAGUUUGGGAGAGUUUGUUUUGUAAGACUGUAUUGAGAAAAAUAGAAAAAUAGAAAAAAUGAGGAAAAAGAAGAAAGAAAAAGAACAAAGAAAAAGAAUUGAAUGAAAGAAAGUUGGGAUAUAAGUUAGAAAGUGGUUGUAAUUUAAGUGAAGCAAAAGAGAAAUCUAUGUGCAUGAUUUGGAUUGUUUAAUCUCUUAGCUCAAGGUGCUUUGUUAUCCAGAAAAACCAUAUUUCUUUCUUAGCCCAGCCUCAAUACAAGCCAAUG